rnacentral:rRNA from 1 species
GGGCGCAAGCCUGAUGCAGCCAUGCCGCGUGUGUGAAGAAGGCCUUCGGGUUGUAAAGCACUUUCAGUCGUGAGGAAGGUGGUGGAGUUAAUAGCUGCAUCAUUUGACGUUAGCGACAGAAGAAGCACCGGCUAACUCCGUGCCAGCAGCCGCGGUAAUACGGAGGGUGCGAGCGUUAAUCGGAAUUACUGGGCGUAAAGCGCAUGCAGGUGGUUUGUUAAGUCAGAUGUGAAAGCCCGGGGCUCAACCUCGGAAUAGCAUUUGAAACUGGCAGACUAGAGUACUGUAGAGGGGGGUAGAAUUUCAGGUGUAGCGGUGAAAUGCGUAGAGAUCUGAAGGAAUACCGGUGGCGAAGGCGGCCCCCUGGACAGAUACUGACACUCAGAUGCGAAAGCGUGGGGAGCAAACAGGAUUAGAUACCCUGGUAGUCCACGCCGUAAACGAUGUCUACUUGGAGGUUGUGGCCUUGAGCCGUGGCUUUCGGAGCUAACGCGUUAAGUAGACCGCCUGG